CUCAGGCUGUCUCCCUGCAGAGAGGAACAGAAUGUGCCACAGUGAGUGAUGAAAGGAGGAAAGUGCCUCCUUCAGGAAUGCUCUAGUGGCUCCAAACAUCACCUCAAAAGGACGAUGAGAUGUUUUAAUCCUGUCAGUGGGAAGAAGCAGAAAAAAGAGUUACUACUGGUGUGCAGGAGUCCUACACACUCUGUGCAGGGUUUCUGCUGGUAAAUUUUUGGCUUUUUGCUGAAGAAGGGGUUAACUGGGGGGUGACCCAGCCCAGCCCAAGCUGAUUUCAUUACUUUGUGCCUGGAAUCACUCAGAUUUUUGUUUCACAGCAUCUAUUCCCAUCUCUUUCCUGCAGUCUUUUGACCUCUGGAUAUGUUCUAAUUCAGUGGGCUGCAGGUAAUUAAUUAUAAAUUACCUGACUGUUUAAUUAUAAAAGAGCCAGCACAGGGAUCAGAUGGAGCCUGAUGGUGACAAAGGCACAGCCCAGAGCUCCAACCCUUCCCUGCCGUCCCCAGUGAGGACACACCUCCCAGCAGGAAUUACUAACUUCUGGUGGAGGGAAAAAGCAGCCAAGGGAGAGUAAUGCCUAUGUAAAAUCUUGUCAGAGAGUGUGGGGGUACCAGUUGUG
rnacentral:lncRNA from 1 species